UACGUAGGGUGCGAGCGUUAAUCGGAAUUACUGGGCGUAAAGCGUGCGCAGGCGGUUCGUCGUGUCCGAUGUGAAAGCCCCGGGCUCAACCUGGAAUGGCAUUGGAAACUGGCGGACUCGAGUGUGGCAGAGGGGGGUGGAAUCCGCGUGUAGCAGUGAAAUGCGUAGAGAUGCGGAGGAACACCGAUGGCGAAGGCAGCCCCCUGGGCUAACACUGACGCUCAGGCACGAAAGCGUGGGGAGCAAACGAGGAUAGAA
rnacentral:rRNA from 1 species